rnacentral:rRNA from 1 species
AGGGAAUCUUCCACAAUGGACGCAAGUCUGAUGGAGCAACGCCGCGUGAGUGAAGAAGGUUUUCGGACCGUAAAGCUCUGUUGUUGGUGAAGAAGGAUAGAGGUAGUAACUGGCCUUUAUUUGACGGUAAUCAACCAGAAAGUCACGGCUAACUACGUGCCAGCAGCCGCGGUAAUACGUAGGUGGCAAGCGUUGUCCGGAUUUAUUGGGCGUAAAGCGAGCGCAGGCGGAAGAAUAAGUCUGAUGUGAAAGCCCUCGGCUUAACCGAGGAAUUGCAUCGGAAACUGUUUUUCUUGAGUGCAGAAGAGGAGAGUAGAACUCCAUGUGUAGCGGUGGAAUGCGUAGAUAUAUGGAAGAAUACCAGUGGCGAAGGCGGCUCUCUGGUCUGCAACUGACGCUGAGGCUCGAAAGCAUGGGUAGCGAACAGGAUUAGAUACCCUGGUAGUCCAUGCCGUAAAACGAUGAGUGCUAAGUG